UACAGAGGGUGCGAGCGUUAAUCGGAAUUACUGGGCGUAAAGCGCACGUAGUCGGCUUUGCAAGUCGGGUGUGAAAUCCCCGGGCUCAACCUGGGAACUGCAUCCGAGACUGCAUUGCUAGAGUAUGGGAGAGGGAAGCGGAAUUUCUGGUGUAGCAGUGAAAUGCGUAGAUAUCGGAAGGAACAUCAGUGGCGAAAGCGACUUCCUGGACCAGUACCGACGUUCAGGCACGAAAGCGUGGGGAGCAAACAGG
rnacentral:rRNA from 1 species